UUUAAAAAAAAAUGCCUAUGUUGCCUACUCUUAGAGAAGCGCAUAAUGUAUCUUUGGACUUUCGACAAGACCAAAAGUUCGACUCACACGAUGUUUUUAUAACAAAUUUUAACCAAAACGACGUUGUUUUAUAAUAUAUAUGAUGUUAUAUAGUCUGUUAAAGUUGAGUCUUAUAUUGCAGCCUUUGCAGGUGGAGAAUAAAUUUACCAAAAAAAUUAAAAGUUGUGAAUAUUUAUUUGCAAUUUUUCUUCGCUUUAGAAGUUUUUAAAAAUUAGUAUUAUUAAACCGUAGUAUUAUUGA
rnacentral:sRNA from 1 species